CGUAGUCGAUGGGAACAGGUCAAUAUUCCUGUACCGCUCUAUGAUGCGAGUGGGGGGACGGAGAAGGUUAGCUCGGCCAUCUGUUGGAAUAGUGGUUUAAGCGUGUAGUCGUGCCGCGUAGGCAAAUCCGCGUGGCUUAGAUGAGGCGUGAUGACGAGGAUCCUCGGAUCCGAAGUGAGUGAUACCCAGCUUCCAGGAAAAGCCUCUAAGCUUCAGUCAUAGAGUGACCGUACCGCAAACCGACACAGGUGGGCUGGUAGAGAAUACCAAGGCGCUUGAGAGAACUCAGGAGAAGGAACUCGGCAAAUUGAUACCGUAACUUCGGGAGAAGGUAUGCCCCUGGUACGUGAAGGCCCUCGCGGCCGGAGCGGAACGGGGUCGCAGAGAAUCGGUGGCUGCGACUGUUUAUUAAAAACACAGCACUCUGCAAACACGAAAGUGGACGUAUAGGGUGUGACGCCUGCCCGGUGCC
rnacentral:rRNA from 1 species